rnacentral:rRNA from 1 species
AGCUCUCAAAAUGCAUAGAAUUAUUGCUGCGGUUAAAAAGCUCGUAGUUGGAUCUGUGCCGGCAGACUGGUCCAUCUUCGGAUGCGUACUGGUUCAUGCCGGCUUUCCUGCAGUUUUGCGGCUCAGUGCCUCUCACGGGGUGCAGUGUCCGUUGCUGCAAGUUUACUUUGAACAAAUCAGAGUGCUCUAAACAGGCGUUUCGCUUGAAUGUUCGUGCAUGGAAUAAUAGAAGAGGAUUUCGGUUCUAUUUUAUUGGUUUUAUAGACUGAGAUAAUGGUUAACAGAGACAAACGGGGGCAUUCGUAUUGCUACGUGAGAGGUGAAAUUCUUGGACCGUAGCAAGACGAACUACAGCGAAAGCAUUUGCCAAGAAUGUCUUCA